CAGCCGCCGCGGUAAUACGGAGGGGGCUAGCGUUGUUCGGAAUUACUGGGCGUAAAGCGCACGUAGGCGGCUUGGUACGUUAGAGGUGAAAGCCUGGAGCUCAACUCCAGAAUUGCCUUUAAGACUGCCGAGCUAGUAGGUGAGAGAGGUAAGUGGAAUUCCGAGUGUAGAGGUGAAAUUCGUAGAUAUUCGGAAGAACACCAGUGGCGAAGGCGGCUUACUGGCUCAUUCUAGACGCUGAGGUGCGGAAGCGUGGGGAGCAAACAGGAUUAGAUACCCCAGUAGUCCCUGUCUCUUAUAC
rnacentral:rRNA from 1 species